rnacentral:tRNA from 1 species
GGUAGCUCAGUAGUAGAGUGCUUGCCUUGCAUGCAUGAGACCCUGGGUUCAAUUCCUCGACACCA